rnacentral:rRNA from 1 species
UACAUAGGGUGCGAGCGUUAAUCGGAAUUACUGGGCGUAAAGCGCGCGUAGGCGGCUUUGCAAGUCGUGUGUGAAAUCCCCAGGCUUAACCUGGGAACUGCAUUCGAGACUGCAUUGCUAGAGUAUGGGAGAGGGAAGUGGAAUUUCCGGUGUAGCGGUGAAAUGCGUAGAUAUCGGAAGGAACAUCAGUGGCGAAAGCGACUUCCUGGACCAAUACUGACGCUCAUGUGCGAAAGCGUGGGGAGCAAACAGG